rnacentral:sRNA from 1 species
UCCGUCUUUUAUACAUCUACUUACUAUUAUUAUACAACCUGAUCCUACUCCUCAUUAUUCGUACACCUCCCCUCCUCCCUGCUUGCUCCUUAUAUCUUUUACGUAAGAUCCAACUCCGGUGUUGAACGACCCGCCAUAGCACUACGAGUUCAGCGUACUAGUACGAGUACUGUACUUCUUGAAUUAAAUAAAUUCCAAUUGUUAUGAACUGGAGACCAGGGCGAUUAUUAAAAAGAAGGUGCCAGCUAAUAGAGCGAGUUAUUGCUGCUUCAUACAUUCAAGCACUUCUUGUACAACAGAAAUAUUGUACAUUUCAGGAUAAUUAUAUAGCGUAAGUGCGUCUUCUUCUCAUCCCGCCCGAUGAUUAUUAGGCUCGACAACACAAGCCUCUCGACGGAUAUCGAUCGGUCUCCGAUGAGGACGAGGUCCCGUCGAGGAGAGGCUUGUGUCGAGGUCGAUGUCCGUCGAGGGGCUUGUGUCGAGCCUACCCGAUGAUAACCAAUGACCACUGCAGCGGCCGAUAUCUCGACCGAAAAAAAAAAAAACACAAGCGCGAAAAAAACAGGAAAGGGAGAAAAUCGAAAGUCGAGAAUUGAAUUUGAGUUAUGGGUUGAGAAGGGUGGCUAGAUUCAAGUUCUCCGUCUUCCCAUGUCCCAGAUACGGGAAACCAGGACAGACCCUCCACUGUAUAGACAUUAUUACAGUAGAAGUGGAGAGUAGUAUUAGAGAACUGAGAUGAAUAGAACUUGAGAAUCCG